UGUAAUUAAAGAGGUGCGUAAGUUAUAUCUCUAAUGUUAGGUGCAUAAACCCCGACGAUCAUUAGAAAAGAUAGAACUUAUGCCGAAAGGUUGCCCAGUUUAUGAUUGGUAAUCUUGGUUCUGAUAUUGAAAGGUAGCAGAACUGUCAUGUCGUUUAAAAUGUGUGUCGACGUGGAGUGCUUUAGUUUGU
rnacentral:ncRNA from 2 species